rnacentral:lncRNA from 1 species
CGAACUUGAAUUUCGGAAGCCGAACAUUGGGCACUUUCGGCGGCCGAACUCAUCUUCGGCGGCCGAACUUGGCUCCUCUGCCUUGGUUCAUUUCAACUCAAAACUCAAAACUAAAGAACUGUAAAACCAGAAAACACCUCAUAAUACUGAGAAAACAUAACUCCUACCCUUCUAUAGAAUCCAAACACCCCGGAUCCCACCAGACAAUAGGAAUUCCGGUGCCGGAUUCUAGCCGG